ACCAAUUUUUCUAUGCAUCUGCACAUGGGAUAGUCAUCUUGCACUCUCCAUUUGAUAUAGUUCAUUUUCUUUAGUACCACAACACCAUCAAAUCUUCUGUCAAGGAAAAGAAUGUCGCUAAGAAAUUAUAUAAGGCAUUUCACACUCGCUUUUCGCAAGGAAGAGAAUACCUGGAGAGGAAGGGAAUCAUCAUAGGUUGUAUUUUAAGUAAAGAUUUGAAUGCCAAUGAAUUGAGCAAUAUAUAAAAAUAUCAACCUACGAGCUAAUGCAACCUAAUAAAAAAAAUACUAUUGAGCAACUAUAGAGUUUUAGGUUAGGUAGUAUACAUUGAACAUCUAUCUUUUCAAUUUUCUCAUCCCGUUAAAUUACAAUCUUUAUCUGUUAUACAUCAAUAAUGAGAUGUUUGAUUGUUAUGUUCGAUAUUCAAACGGUCAUGUGAGAUUCGUUUUUUAUUACUGCAUAAGUUCAACUGUUCCUACUUGAUUUUUCAAAAUUCUCGAGUAUUUGGUGUAAUAUGAGAUUCAUAUGAAAGGUAUUUUCUUCUAUUGUAUGAAAGAAACUCAUAUGAGAAUCUUUUGAGUACUUAAAGUAAUAUGAAAUUCAUCUUAAAGAUGUGCUUUGUGAUAUCAUGUAUUCGUAUCCAAGAUUUGAUGCUUCAUCUGCUUCUUUAGUUUAGUAAGAAUUAUUUCAUGCUAUUGCAUGAAACAUUUGACUGGUCUCCUACUGCUCUACGCUAGCUCGAAAGGUAUGGCUACUCUCUUCUUUCCUGCUGAACAUCAUCAAGAAUUUCCCCCUUCUUCUGCUUCACCCGGAAGAUUCUCAAUACAGGCUUAACAACCAUCCCUGCUUACAUUUUAAGAAAAGUUUAAUAGUGACCGUCAAGCUUCACUAAUAGAUAUGGUUCUCCUAUAAGGAGCAUGCUUGCCCUAUGUUUAUUGGUGUGCUAAGUCAUGUAACUUAAUGUUGAAACUUAGCGUACAAGAUAUAGCUUAAAUCUCAUAAAUUUAAUAGGCAGAGCAUAUUAGUCACUUGAUAUAAUUCAACGUUCCUGAAUCAAUUUUAUAUUUCUCAGUGAUUAUUUUUUAUACAGAUGACUUCAAGCUAACAUGAUUACUGAUUUCUCUCUAGGUUGAUGAUAAUCCUUCUUUGACAAAUGCUUCCAAGAUGUAGCAUCUAUUAUUGCGAGAGUUGGUCUUGGGGCUCACUGCAUUAGCAUAGGAAGUGUCCGACAUGUUUGAGCAAGCUGUUGGCAGAAAAUACACUGCGAGGAUAUUACUAACAUUGAAGAGUUCUCUCGCCAUUUUGGAGCUGUUGAUUUGAGGUAAAAAGAUGGACAGAAAAGGUGCUUAUGGCUGAAAUGAGAUAGGUUACUAUUAAAAAAAAUUACAGCCUACAAAUUUCUAUGUCUAUUAAUUAGUUUAGAAUUGUAUCUAUGUCUCAGGAUACCUGAUAAAGAGAGAACACUAACAGAGGCUUGAGCACUUACCAUCUGAUCUGAUCCUACUAAGCAAAAGUAAUCACUUGGAAUAUUUAGAACUGGCAAGAAGAAGACGCACUUCUUAUUCUCAUAUUUACGCGUGACAUUGUUACUCAACAAGAAAUACUUGAAAAUUGUAGUUAAUAGAUGGUGCUAUCAUAUUAGAAAGUAUUUGUUUUGUAAUCUAUAGCAAGAAAAUCAUCUGAGUUCAGUAAGUAAGGGGGAUUUGCCAAAGUGUCCUCUCUUUUAUGUAAGGCAUCAUUUUUCUUCCUGAUUUUACAGAUGAACUUACAAAAGGGAAGAGAUUUUCAGUUCUUGGUUUCCAUGGAGAACUUUUCCAUCAUAAUUUAAUUUUGACUAUGCCUAUUUAAGCUUCUUCUAGAAUUGCUAUGUUUUAUUUUCAAAUUGGAUUUUAACAUGCAUGAUUCCAAAAAAAAAUAAUGUGCAG
rnacentral:lncRNA from 1 species